UAGGUUUUUAAAGGACAUUGUUUUCAUCUGUCUUGUGCCAAAGUUGUAUCAUUGUUCAAUGCCAAACUUCUGAAGACAUAACCAGUCAAAGACCUCAGUUCAAAGUAUUUUCUCAAUCCAGUCGUGUGCUUUUCCUGUCGCUUCUGUGACUGCUUUCUAGACAAAGUAAAGUUAGUGUUAUGACUGUGCAUCCUGAUCACUUUCUGCUCCUGCAUUUGUAAUGGAAGCCUUGGGAAUGGAAUCCUCAGUGGGUCUUGUAUUUAUACAUUUGGCUAGAAGCCUUAUUUGUAUAUAAUGAUGCUUUUUUAAAUGCUUAGAAUGCUAUUUAUUUCUCAAGUGUAUAUAAUGUAUAAAAACAAAUGUAUGGUUAGUUUUUACUUUAUGAUUAACCAUUUUCAAGAUUAAAAAUUUUACUAGUAAAAUAAUAAA
rnacentral:lncRNA from 1 species